UGGCGGCUGCUGCUGGGUGAGCCCUAUCAUGGCGAGCGUUUGGGCUUCGGCCUGAGCUAGUAGCUUUUCUUUUAAACCCAUUCCUUAAUACUGAUUAUACUGUGGGGACGAAAGUCCUUGCUUUUAACUAGAUAGCAACUUUCAGCAGUGGAUGUCUAGGCUCGCACAUCGAUGAAGAACGCUGCGAACUGCGAUACGUAAUGCGAAUUGCAGGAUUCAGUGAGUCAUCGAAAUUUUGAACGCAUAUUGCACUUCCGGGUUAGUCCUGGGAGUAUGCCUGUAUCAGUGUCCGUACAUCAAACUUGGCUUUCUUCCUUCCGUGUAGUCGGUGGAGGAGAUGCCAGAUGUGAAGUGUCUUGCGGCUGGUUUUCGGACCGACUGCGAGUCCUUUUAAAUGUACUGAACUGUACUUCUCUUUGCUCGAAAAGCGUGGCGUUGCUGGUUGUGGAGGCUGCUAUUGUAGCAAGUUGGCGACCGGUUUGUCUGCUGCGGCGUUAAUGGAAGAGUGUUCGAUUCGCGGUAUGGUUAGCUUCGGCUGAACAAUGCGCUUAUUGGAUGUUUUUUCUGCUGUGGCGUGAUGGACCGGUGAACCAUAGCUCAGUUGCUUGGCUUUUGAAUCGGCUUUGCUGUUGCGAAGUAGAGUGGCGGCUUCGGCUGUCGAGGGUCGAUCCAUUUGGGAAAUGUGUGUGUACUUCGGUAUGCAUCUCAAUUGGACCUGAUAUCAGGCAAGAUUACCCGCUGAACUUAGCAUUCCCUAAAAAGGGGGAAAAAACNCCCACCUAAAAAACUUUCCACGUGAACCGUUUCAAACCAAAUAGUUUGGGGGUCUUGUCUGGGUGGCGGCCGCCGGGCUUUUAUUGGUUUGGCCGCGCCGCUGGGGUGAACCUAUCAGGGCGAGGUUUUGGGGCUUCGCCUGAGCUAGUAGCUUUUCUUUUAAACCAUUCCUUAAUACUGAAUUAUACUGUUGGGGGACGAAAGGUCUUGCUUUUUACUAGAAUUGCACUUUCCCAGUGGGAUGUCUAGGCCCCAUCGAUUAAGAAAGCUCCAAAUGCCAUACUUAAUGGCAAUUGCAGGAAUUCUUGGAGUCCCCAAAUUUUUGAACCCAAUUGCAUUCCGGUUAAACCCGGGGAAAUUAGCCG
rnacentral:rRNA from 1 species